UUUAAGCCGCCUGGUGGAUGGCUCGGCUCGGGCGCCGAAGAAGGGCGCGGCAAGCGGCGAUAUGCCCGGGUGAGGCGCAUGCAGCCGUAGAACCCGGGAUUCCCGAAUGGGAACUCCUACUGCAGGUUAAUAGCCUGCAGUGCCCGGAUAACCGGGCGGGAACCCCCCGAACGGAAACAUCUUAGUAGGGGGAGGAGGAGAAACCAAACGGGAUUCCCUGAGUAGGGGCGACCGAAAGGGGAAGAGGUCAAACCAAAUCCCUCUAUGAUAAGUAGAGGGAGAUGUGGUGUUGAGAGCUUCUGGCUGGUUAAAAGCCAGAAAGCCGAGCCUCGGUAGCUGAAGUGGGCUGGAAUGCCCCACCGCAGAGGGUGAUAGUCCCGUAAGCAAAACCGAGGUGGCUUUCGCCAGAAGCUAGAGUACUACGGCCCGGUUUGGCCGUAGGAAGCAGGGAGCCACCAGCUUCCAAACCUAAAUACGUCCCGAGACCGAUAGCGGACAAGUACCGCGAGGGAAAGCUGAAAAGGACCCCGAGAGGGGUGUGAAAAGAGCCUGAAACCAGGCGGUUACACCGGAUGCAGCCCGAAAGAAAUGAACUUCUCCAAAGGAAAACGGAGUGAUCCGUGAGUACGAGGAGAAGCGAUCGGGGUUGCAUCUUCCGUCUUGAAACACGGGCCGGGGAGUUCACGGUUGUGGCGAGCUUAAGGGGCUAACCCCCGAAGGCUCAGGGAAACCGACAAGUCCGCAACCGGUUCUCCGGUGAGGGACGGGGUCCCAAAGGGCCUGGAGUCACAGCCGUGAAACCCGAAACCGGGUGAUCUAGGCGGGGGCAGAGCGAAGCCGAGGGAAACCUCGGUGGAGGCUCGAAAGGGUUCUGACGUGCAAUUCGUUCCCCUGACCCCCGUCUAGGGGCAAAAGACCAAUCUAACCCGGUGAUAGCUGGUUCCCGCCGAAGUGGGUCUCAGCCCAGCCUCACUGGAGGUAGGCCAUGGGGUAGAGUUACUGAUUGGAAGUGCAGUAGCCGAAAGGCUACGACUUCCAGUCAAACUCCGAACCUGUGGCCGCCGAAGAAGGUGGGAGUGGGGUUUCCCAGGGGUAAGCCUGGGAGCCGAGAGGGGAACAACUCAGACCGAGGUUAAGGCCCCAAAGUGCUGGCUAAGUGCCAUCUAAAGGGCGUCCUCAGCCUAAGACAGCGGGGAGGUUGGCCCAGCAGCAGCCAUCCUCUAAGGAGUGCGUAACAGCUCACCCGCCGAGGCUGAGGGCCCCGAAGAUUGGUCGGGGCUAAGCCAGCCGCCGAUACCUCGGGGCACCUCUGCAUUGCAGAGGUGAUCCGGUAGGCGGGCGUCGGGGUGGGGCAGAAGUCGGGCCGUGAGGUCCGAUGGACCCGCUCCGAGUGCGGAUCCCGGUGGUAGUAACAGCGAAGAGGGGUGGGAAUCCCCUCCGCCAGAAAGGGCCAGGGUUCCUCGGCAACGGUCGUCGGCCGAGGGUCAGCCGGUCCUAAGCGAGCCCGUAACACGGCGCUCGCAAAAGGGAAACAGGUUAAUAUUCCUGUGCCGUGGAGGUAGGCAUCGCGGCAACGCAAAGCUCAGCUCCUGACGUUUCGGGGUAGGCUGACAGGGGUAGCCGCCCCUGCUAACCUGCCGAAUACCGGGAAGUACCGUCAAGGUGAGAACCGGUAGAAGGGGGGAAUGGCCUGCCUAGUGCAGGUUCAGCCGAUCCCUGGAACCCAUGAAAAGGGAGCUGAGAACGAUCCUCCACGCCCGUACCGAGAACCGACACAGGUGCCCCAGGGUGAGAAGCCCAAGGCGUCUGGGGGUCAGCGCAGGCCAGGGAACUCGGCAAAUUAGCCCCGUAUCUUCGGAAGAAGGGGUGCCUGUGGACCUGGGCAGAAACCUGGGUCCAUAGGUCGCAGUGCCUAGAGGGACCUGACUGUUUAAUAAAAACAUAGCUCACCGCUAGCCUGUAAAGGUUUGUACGGUGGGUGAAUCCUGGCCACUGGCGGUCCGUGAACCCCGGGUCCAACCGGGCGAAGCGCCGCUGAAGGCCGGGAGUAACUCUGACUCUCUUAACGGGAGUAUCUCGCCUAGGAAUGAAAGGCGGGAGCUCCCGGGAGAAAGGUAGCCAAAUGCCUUGCCGGGUAAGUUCCGGCGCGCAUGAACGGAUCAACGAGGUCCCUACUGUCCCGGCCUGCGCCCCCGUGAAUCUAUAAGCUGGUUCACAGUCCAGCAACCUCCCGUAGGGAGAGAAGACCCCGUGGAGCUUUACUGCAGCCAGAUGUUGUCCUAUGGGAGUGGGAACGUAGCGUAGGUGGGAGGCGUCGAUCCUACCCUUUCGGGGGUAGGGGAGCCGAUCCUGAAACACCACCUUCUCGCUCCCGUAGGACUUACCCUGGGUAUCCAGGGGACAGCACCUGGUGGGCAGUUCGGCUGGGGCGGCACGCGCGCGAAAAGAUAACACGCGUGCCCAAAGGUCGGCUCAAGCGGGUCAGAAACCCGCUGUAGAGUGCAAGGGCAAAAGCCGGCCUGACCGAACCCCGGAUAACAACGGGUUCGGACGGGAAACCGAGGCCUAGCGAACGCUCGUGCCCCCACUGGUGGGGGCCGGGCAUGACAGAAAAGUUACCCCGGGGAUAACGGAGUCGUCGCGGGCGAGAGCUCCCAUCGACCCCGCGGUUUGCUGCUUCGAUGUCGGCUCUUCCCAUCCUAGAGGUGCAGCAGCCUCUAAGGGUGGGGCUGCCCGCCCAUUAAAGGGGAUCGUGAGCUGGGUUUAAACCGUCGUGAGACAGGUUGGACUCUACCCACGGGAGGCGUUGGCCGUCUGAGGGGAAGAUGCCCACAGUACGAGAGGAACUGGGCAUCGCGGCCUCUAGUCUACCGGUUGUCCGGCAGGGCAAUGCCGGGCAGCCACGCCGUUAGGGAUAACCGCUGAAAGCAUCUAAGCGGGAAGCCCGCCCCGAGACGAGACGGCCAUUCCGUGCGGGGAAACUCGCACGGAUGGAGGGCCCCCGUAGAAGACGGGCUUGAUAGGACGGGGGUGUAAGCUCCGAGGGACUUGUUCCCGAGGAGUGAGCCUGCCGUUACUAAAAGCCCGACGCCGCUUGC
rnacentral:rRNA from 1 species